GUUUCUGUAGUGUAGUGGUUAUCACGUUCGCCUGACACGCGAAAGGUCCCCAGUUCGUGAGUGGGCGGAAACA
rnacentral:tRNA from 1 species